rnacentral:rRNA from 1 species
AUUGAACGCUGGCGGGAGGCUUAACACAUGCAAGUCGAACGAGCGGCGGACGGGUGAGUAAUGUAUGGGGACUGCCCAGUAGCGGGGGAUAAUACUGGAAACGGUGGCUAAUACCGCAUACUAUCGGAGGGCCCAUAUGGGAUUAGCUAGUUGGUGGGGUAAAGGCUCACCAAGGCGACGAUCCGUAGCUGGUCUGAGAGGAUGACCAGCCACACUGGGACUGAGACACGGCCCAGACUCCUACGGGAGGCAGCAGUGGGGAAUAUUGCACAAUGGGGGAAACCCUGAUGCAGCCAUGCCGCGUGUAUGAUGAAGGCCUUCGGGUUGUAAAGUACUUUCGGCAGGAAGCGGUUCUGCAGAAUAAGCACCGGCUAACUACGUGCCAGCAGCCGCGGUAAUAC